rnacentral:rRNA from 1 species
UGGGGAAUAUUGCACAAUGGGCGCAAGCCUGAUGCAGCCAUGCCGCGUGUAUGAAGAAGGCCUUCGGGUUGUAAAGUACUUUCAGCGGGGAGGAAGGGAGUAAAGUUAAUACCUUUGCUCAUUGACGUUACCCGCAGAAGAAGCACCGGCUAACUCCGUGCCAGCAGCCGCGGUAAUACGGAGGGUGCAAGCGUUAAUCGGAAUUACUGGGCGUAAAGCGCACGCAGGCGGUUUGUUAAGUCAGAUGUGAAAUCCCCGGGCUCAACCUGGGAACUGCAUCUGAUACUGGCAAGCUUGAGUCUCGUAGAGGGGGGUAGAAUUCCAGGUGUAGCGGUGAAAUGCGUAGAGAUCGGGAGGAAUACCGGUGGCGAAGGCGGCCCCCUGGACGAUGGCUGACGCUCAGGUGCGAAAGCGUGGGGAGCAAACAGG